CUGCGAAUGGCUCAUUAAAUCAGUUAUCGUUUAUUUGAUAGUACCUUUACCUGGAUAACCGUGGUAAUUCUAGAGCUAAUACAUGCUAAAAACCCCGACUUCGGGAGGGGUGUAUUUAUUAGAUAAAAAACCAAUGCCCUUCGGGGCUCCUUGGUGAUUCAUAAUAACUUAACGAAUCGCAUGGCCUUGCGCCGGCGAUGGUUCAUUCAAAUUUCUGCCCUAUCACCUUUCGAUUGUAAGAUAGAGGCUUACAAUGGGAGCAACGGGUAACGGGGAAUAAGGGUUCUAUUCCGGAGAGGGAGCCUGAGAAACGGCUACCACAUCCAAGGAAGGCAGCAGGCGCGCAAAUUACCCAAUCCCGAUACGGGGAGGUAGUGACAAUAAAUACUGAUACGGGGCUCUUUCGGGUCUCGUAAUUGGAAUGAGUACAAUCUAAAUCCCUUAACGAGGAACAAUUGGAGGGCAAGUCUGGUGCCAGCAGCCGCGGUAAUUCCAGCUCCAAUAGCGUAUAUUAAAGUUGUUGCCGUUAAAAAGCUCGUAGUUGAACCUUGGCCCUGGCUGAUCUGUCCUCCUAAUCGAGCGCACGGAUUCGGUCGGGGCUUUCCUUCUGGGGAGCCCCAUGCCCUUUACUGGGUGUGGCGGGGAACCAGGACUUUUACCUUGAAAAAAUUAGAGUGUUCAAAGCAGGCCUUUGCUCGAAUACAUUAGCAUGGAAUAAUAGAAUAGGACAUCGGUUCUAUUUUGUUGGUUUCUAGGACCGCUGUAAUGAUUAAUAGGGACAGUCGGGGGCGUCAGUAUUCAAUUGUCAGAGGUGAAAUUCUUGGAUUUAUUGAAGACUAACUACUGCGAAAGCAUUCGCCAAGGAUGUUUUCAUUAAUCAGUGAACGAAAGUUAGGGGAUCGAAGACGAUCAGAUACCGUCGUAGUCUUAACCAUAAACUAUGCCGACUAGGGAUCGGACGGUGGUUUUUUUAUGCCCCGUUCGGCACCUUACGAGAAAUCAAAGUUUUUGGGCUCGGGGGGGAGUAUGGUCGCAAGGCUGAAACUUAAAG
rnacentral:rRNA from 1 species